rnacentral:rRNA from 1 species
UUAGCUACGAUACUCAGGAUGAAAAUCCCCAACAACUAUACAGCAUCGUUUAGGGCGUGGACUACCAGGGGAUCUAAUCCUGUUUGCUCCCCACGGUUUCUUGCAUGAGAGUCAGUGUUAUGCCAGGGGACAGCCUUCUCCAUUGGGAUGCCUCCCCAUAUCUACACAUUUCACUGCUACACGCGGAAUUCUACCCCCCUCUGAAACACUCUAGAUAUACAGUCACACGAGCCAUUACCAGGUUAAGACCGGGGAUUUCACGCCUGUCAUGUAUAACCGCCUGCGCACACUUUACACCCAGAAAUUCCGAUUAAAGCUUGCGCCCUACGUAUUACCGCGGCUGCGGGGACGUAGAUAGCCGGUGCUUAUUCUUAAGGUACCGCCAUUCCCCGACUGUGUUAAAAAAAGAGUUUCAUCCCCGACAAAACAUCUUUACAAACCGAAGGUCUUCUUCACUCACUCGGGAUUGUUGGAUAAAGGUUUCCCCCAUUGUCCAAAAUUCCCCACUGGUGCCUCCCGUA